AAAUGAAUUGACGGGGACCCGCACAAGCAGUGGAGUAUGUGGUUUAAUUCGAAGAUACGCGAAGAACCUUACCAGGGCUUGACAUGCAGAGAAUCCCGCUGAGAAGCGGGAGUGCCUUCGGGAACUCUGACACAGGUGGUGCAUGGUUGUCGUCAGCUCGUGUCGUGAGAUGUUGGGUUAAGUCCCGCAACGAGCGCAACCCUUAUUGCCGGUUGCUAACAUUAAGUUGAGCACUCCGGCGAGACUGCCGUUGACAAAACGGAGGAAGGUGGGGACGACGUCAAAUCAUCAUGCCCCUUAUGUCCUGGGCUACACACGUACUACAAUGGCCGUUAACAAUGGGCAGCCAAGGCGCGAGCCGGAGCAAAUCCCCAAAAACGGUCCCAGUUCGGAUUGCAGGCUGAAACUCGCCUGUAUGAAGUUGGAAUUGCUAGUAAUCGCGAAUCAGAAUGUCGCGGUGAAUACGUUCCCGGGUCUUGUACACACCGCCCGU
rnacentral:rRNA from 1 species